rnacentral:lncRNA from 1 species
ACAUUUGCACAGAUGCUGCUGCUAUAGUACUUUCAGGCAAGGCCAAGGCUUCUUGAAACACUGGUCAUGCCCCAGUGAUCAAUGAAGAACUCAGGGAUAUCCCAAAACUCAGGACUAUAAGGCACAAUGGGGGAGCAGGUACCAGGUGCCCAGCAUCCUAAAUGACUCUCAGUUAGCAGCUGCAGAGAAGACCAUAAUGGAUGGAUAUAUAGGCUGAUGUAUAUCAAUUGGUUUGUGUUGUUUGUUGAUAUUCACCAGAUCUUCCAUAUUUUGCUAUUUUAUGGAUAUUAUUUUCAAUUUCUGAGUUUUGUCUUUUCCAGAAUGCCAUACAGUUGAAGUCAUAUGGUAUAUAGACUUUGCAGGUUUUUAUGUGGACAUGUUUUUUGACUCCUUUGGGCAAAUACCAAGGAGCAAGAUUGCUGGAUCAUAUGGAAAGACACAUUACCAUAUCAAAGCCUUUAGCCUUCUUGCAGCAUGACAAAAAUUUGAACUUGGUAUUUGAAGAACAUGAAAAAUGAGGAGGAAUAAAAUAAUCAUGAGUCUCCUGGUUAUUAACUGCAUGAAGUUUAGCUGGUCACUUAAGCCAUUCCUAAUAUGUAACUUGAGAGUAUAGUAUUAGAUAUUCAGUAAAUUCCCUUCAAAAUUCAUA